UAUACUUUUGAAAACAAACUGUUUGUUGUGAAAGUUAGUGAUAAAAGUAUUAAUUAUAUUGAAACAGUUUGCAUCACGAGAAGAAGUGGGUUAAUAUCAUCGAAACAAUUUGUAUCACGCGAAGAAUUGGUUUUACGAGAAACGAAACAGUUUGUAUCAUGCGAAGAAGUUGACGAAAGAUUUAUUUUAGUUAAAAUAGUCAACACAAACAAAUCGCUAGUUACCUUGGUGUCAUAGGUGGUGCCAACAUUAAAGAUAUGACAAGGAGAGUAUUAACAGCUUUGAUAACUAAUGUUUUAGCUGGUGAAUAAAAUUUCAUGGAGCAUAGGGAAAAACAUGCCUUUUCAGUCCUUAUGAUAAGAAAAAUUGUCAAUGAUGCAGUUUGACUCAUUCCAUUGACAAAAAAAGCUACAGCUGCUGAAGUAGAAGACGUAGUGAAGGAAUGGCUUCAAAAAUCAAAAGAUAAAUCUCCGCGCAAAGCGGAGAAGAUUAGAGUUGAACGACGAACUUGCAAAUAAUGUAGAAGACGAAUACAAAUAAUUUGCCACAAUUCAAUAUUGCAAAAAAAUAUUAUCUUGGCUA